rnacentral:rRNA from 1 species
AUGUUCACCCUUCUCCUUAUAAAUAGGGUCAGACCGCCUCCUUUCAUUUCCCCCCUUCUCCUUCUCGUCUUCCUCCUCCUCUUACGACUCAUCUGCCACUUCAAGCUCCGCCGCCGCCGCGAAGCUCACCGUCCUCCUCACCCUUGGUCGAUGCAUCAACCUAAACGGGACCAGAGAACGCCGACGCUCCAUCGCAGUUCAUGUCCAUCUGCUUCCUCCUUUACGAUGCUUCCUAAGACAACCACUUCAUGCAACUGGGUUCCCUCCAUUGUCACUGAGGACACGCUCAAGGACUUUGUGAAAACCGGCUAUUUACCAGAGAAGAAUGUCAUGCAUUAUCGCGGCCCUGAUCUGGAAGAAGAAAAACCUCAGCCAAAGGACGAUGAACUCAUCGUUUUUACUGAUCACAUGAAUCGGGGCUUCUCACCGCCCGGUUCUAAAUUUUUCCGAGAUGUUCUGCACUUUUUCGAGCUUCAUCCUCAAGACAUCAGACCCAAUUCCGUGUCAAACAUAUGCAAUUUUCAAAGUUUCUGCAAGGUGUACCUUCAAGAGGAGCCAAGUGUGGAACUAUUUAGGCAAUACUUUUAUUUGAACCGCCAAAAUGAGUAUUCGAACGGACCCAGCUUGGAACUUGGCGGGAUAUCAAUUCAGCGAAGGAGAGGUGCUAUCUUCCCCUACACUUGCCUGCCGAGUCAUCCAAAAGAUUGGAACCAGACAUGA